rnacentral:SRP_RNA from 2 species
GCUGGGCAUGGUGGUGCAUGCCUGUAAUCCCAGCUACUUGGGAGGCUGAGGCAGGAGAAUUGCUUGAACCCAGGAGGUGGAGGUUGCAGAGCUGAGAUCACUAGCCACUGCACUCCAGCCUGGGUGACAGAGUGAGACUCCGUCUCAA